rnacentral:misc_RNA from 1 species
GUGAAAUCUCGACGGCUGUGCGCCUUCGGGCCGCACGUCGUCGCUCCACACAUUUGUGCACCUUCGACGGGAGGGGGAGACCUUUCCUGUCGCUUCAUUAACAAAAGUUAGUCCUGAAUGUUCAAUUUAUUGACUGCAAAGUCAGUAAACUCUAUA